rnacentral:lncRNA from 1 species
UGUCAAAAAAUAUCUCAUCAACAGGUCCUAGAAGAUCAAUUCCAGGUUUUAGUUCAAUUGCUGGCUGAUCGGUCUCUGCCUCGGAUGAUACAAAUGCAAUAAAUUUUCCCUUUGGAGCAACAUUGUGAGUGUAUGAGCAACAAAAUAGGUACCUGCAAAGGAUAACAUAAAAGAACAUUCGAUUUAAAAAAAAAUACAAUUUAAAUAUCAAAUCAUAUUCGAUUUAAAAAAAAUACAAUUUAAAUAUCAAAUCAUAUUUGAUUUAAUUACCUUCCAAGUUGAAGGUUUCCACUGGCCUUACAAGAUCAUAACUUUUUCAUGGCAUUAUUUACUACAUUUUAAUAAAAGCUUAAGAUUACAUUUAUAACUGUUGAAAUGAAAUUAUAUAGUCUAUAUAUGAAAAGGGAGGAAAAGAGAAAACUAAAGGACAAUAUGGAAGGAGAUUGAUACCUAAUGGUCAUUUAUACCAAUAGUUUAGGUCAAUUACUAGAACAAUACAAAUAGUAGAACCAAGGCCCAGUAGGACUGUUAAGAUCAUGAGACUCCAAAAAUAAGAAUCCAAAUAUUCUACAACUUUGCUUUAUCCAAAAUGCUCAGGAGAUGCCUUAUUCAGCAAUGCAUGGGGUUCAUAUCUUUUGGGCUGUUAUUAUCUUUCUGCAUGUUUAUUUGUAACAAAUUGAGAGUAACCAAUGACAGCUAAAGUAAAGAAUGGGCAGCACAGGUAGGAAUGUUGCUUAGGUCAAGGAAGUGAAAUGAUGGGAAAAUAAAAAGAUGUGGAGUUGAAAUUUCUAUUCAAGAAAUUGUACAGCAAGGUCAUUCUUCUCCAAAUCCAUAAAAAUAUGUGGAAGGUCCAAACAGCAAUAGUAUCCCCAAAAUUGACUUUGGAAGGCCAAGAAUCACUCAGCAUUUUAUACAGCUCAAAAGAAAAUCACGGCAGAACAAUAAAGAUAAUAGGUAUAGUCUAAGCUUGUAUUCAUCAUAUUGAAUUUACCACGCAAAGGUGCUGUUCAAUAUUAAUUGUUUGUAAUGUUGAAAUACAAUGUACAUGUCAUAUAUAUAUAUAUAUAUAUAUAUAUAUAUAUAUAUAUAUAUAUGCAAAUUGUCAUCCGAUUCAGUGAUUUUACCUCUACUUCAAUGAAAUUCAUUACAUUAACAAUUUAUACAAUAAAUAAAAUCGAAGCAACAAACUUCAUGCUGAAAAUAUUUGAUUAUUUUCAUGAUUAGUAACAAAAAUAACUCAGAUGAAACUGAAGGAUUUAGCUUCAUUCAAGCACAGCUAACGCUAAUUAAUGGUCCCAGUAGCAUGAAACAUAUGUAUCUAUAAUGCAACAGAUUCUCAGCAAAUUUAACUAUAAUAUAUAUAUAUAUUAAGAAGCUGCAUGGAAACUUACAUGUCCGACUUCCGACCCAACUGCUUCUGAGGUAAAAUAAUUUGCACCGAAUGGGAAUCAUCAGUGCUGGGGAUUGGGUGGCUCAUGAUGGCUAUUGCCCUUGCAACCUUAC